rnacentral:rRNA from 1 species
AGUGAACGCUGGCGGUAGGCCUAACACAUGCAAGUCGAACGGCAGCACAGUAAGCGCUUGCUCUUACGGGUGGCGAGUGGCGGACGGGUGCGGAAUACAUCGGAAUCUACUUUUUCGUGGGGGAUAACGUAGGGAAACUUACGCUAAUACCGCAUACGACCUACGGGUGAAAGCAGGGGAUCUUCGGACCUUGCGCGAUUGAAUGAGCCGAUGUCGGAUCAGCUAGUUGGCGGGGUAAAGGCCCACCAAGGCGACGAUCCGUAGCUGGUCUGAGAGGAUGAUCAGCGACACUGGAACUGAGACACGGUCCAGACUCCGACGGGAGGCAGCAGUGGGGAAUAUUGGACAAUGGGCGCAAGCCUGAUCCAGCCAUACCGCGUGGGUGAAGAAGGCCUUCGGGUUGUAAAGCCCUUUGGUUGGGAGAGAAAAGCAGCAGGUUAAUACCCCGCUGUUCUGACGGUACCCAAAGAAUAAGCACCGGCUAACUUCGUG